UACGAAGGGGGCUAGCGUUGCUCGGAAUUACUGGGCGUAAAGGGCGCGUAGGCGGUCUGCUAAGUUGGAUGUGAAAACUCUGGGCUUAACCCAGAGCCUGCAUUCAAUACUGACAGGCUAGAGUUCUGGAGGGGAUAGCGGAAUUCCUGGUGUAGCGGUGAAAUGCGUAGAUAUCAGGAGGAACACCGGUGGCGAAGGCGGCUAUCUGGACAGAGUCUGACGCUGAGGCGCGAAAGCGUGGGGAGCAAACAGG
rnacentral:rRNA from 1 species